rnacentral:rRNA from 1 species
GUAGGGAAUUUCCGCAAUGGACGAAAGUCUGACGGAGCAAGCCGCGUGAGUGAUGAAGGCUUUCGGGUCGUAAAACUCUGUUGUUAGGGAAGAACAAGUGCUAGUUGAAUAAGUUGGCACCUUGACGGUACCUAACCAGAAAGCCACGGCUAACUACGUGCCAGCAGCCGCGGUAA